rnacentral:rRNA from 1 species
AGCAGCCGCCACGGUAAAACGGAGGGUGCAAGCGUUAAUCGGAAUUACUGGGCGUAAAGCGCACGCAGGCGGUCUGACAAGUCAGAUGUGAAAUCCCCGGGCUUAACCUGGGAACUGCAUUUGAAACUGUCAGGCUGGAGUCUUGUAGAGGGGGGUGGAAUUCCAGGUGUAGCGGUGAAAUGCGUAGAGAUCUGGAGGAAUACCGGUGGCGAAGGCGGCCCCCUGGACAAAGACUGACGCUCAGGUGCGAAAGCGUGGGGAGCAAACAGGAUUAGAUACCCGUGUAGUCCCUGUCUCUUAUAA